rnacentral:lncRNA from 1 species
AUUAAUAUUGCAUUUUACAAAUCUAAUUUCAUAAAUCAUGGGUUGAAGUGCUAUUUUGAAAGUUUGAGGCUGAAUUUGAGGAGAACUCUGUAUUAUUUGAGAGUUUGGGAUCAAAUUGAUGAUAACUCAAACUUUAAAGGACCAAAUGUGUAAAAAGGGGAACUUCACCAUUGUUGACCGAGCUUUCAAUUUGCGAUAGAGAGAAUUUGCGAUAACGAUUUCGGACG